GCAAUGGCGGCCAACGGAGCAGCGUUGUGUGGUUUUGUGUGCUGCCACGGGAAUGCUUUGCAGCGAAACAGAGUUUCUGCUGCAAGAGCCGAGGAAUAUUGGGCCACAAGAAAUCGAGCGAAAGCAUGGCUGAGCGUCACCGUUUCCGGACCUUCCAUAUCGAGGCACUAGAGCACGCAAACAAAACGCUUUUAAAACACGGUGUUUAAUGGCAGUGCCUUCGCUGUGUGGGCAUGCACUGAACCCACCCCCGGUAAUCCAGAAGGUGUGGGUUCGAGUUCUAUGGCUGGCUAACCUUUUCAGUGACUUCCAUCUUUCUUAACUGUACCCAAGUUGGUGCGCUUCGUCAACCACCGUCAACCGACGGACGUAUAGGUCCGCGGCAGUGAGAACAUGUCAACGCAUUGCGCUGCGUUGAGCACUGAGGAUGCGUGCCAACGCAACGGCAUGUGCGUCAAAACGCACCAGUGACGACCAACCUUAGCAAAAAGAGCAAGGAAGAAACGGCAGCACAGCCCCCGAACGUGUUCAAGCGUCCUCCAGUCGUCGCCCGAUAAGAGUACGCCUUUCUCUCAGGCGCUUCGAGCACGUGACACGCUCGCUCUUGCGUUCCCUUUCUUCGCUUUCGCCAUGGCUUUCGCGGAGAGGAGGGAAGAGGUCACGUGACGGAGCACGAUACCCAACGCCACCUAGGCACAGACCUCGCACACAAAAAAACAUCAACACGCAACGGAACAAUUCUACAGAGGAGACAACCGAAGCGGCCUACUCUUCCAAGCACGUACUGGAUCAUUGCCCACAAGGAAGCGCAUUCAAGAACUUUUCCGUACCGACAACGCAGAAUGCAUACUUUGCAUGACGGGCGAAGACGAGGAUCUCCACCAUAUAAUGUAUUCAUGCCGGGCACUACUACCAACGAAACCGAAACCAGAACCGCUCCAAAAACUGCUAGGUUUUGAGAGUGACACCCCGCCAUACAUUAUUGAAACUACAAAGAGACACCUGGAGGCUUGGGAAAAACAAUGCAGAAGAAUUAGCGUACUGCAAACAUCAGCCGCAUCGGGACCAACGGAAAGGUCGGAUAGCAUCUCCCAAAGAACAGCAAAGACGACUACGAAGCCGAACAGGACGACCGGAUCCCGGAACGCGAGCGACGCCCCACGACGACAAACUAACUGACUUUUUCGUUUUUAUUUCUUUUUACAUCUAGACUUUGGUCUAGUACUGCGCCUGUGGUACUCUGUACCUGCCCUGAUUCGAAAGGGAUGAGGCACACCUGAACCUGAACAUGGUUGCAGCUAACUUGGAACCUGUAGGCAAGAAGUGCAACACGCUUUCCAGAAAAUCGGAUUGAGCAAGAUAUGGGACCGUCUUGAGCUUUACUUUAAAUAUUUCCCAUUUAGUACACGGGGACGUUCCAUUAAUACUCGCAGACGACAGUAGUUUGGUCUCCAUGGCUACGACCGCUGAAAGCACGUCCGUGAUUGGCUACCGCCGUUGAAAACACGAUCUUGAUUGGCUGACUUGUAGUUGUUACGUCACUUGGACGAGUAAGCAGGCUUUCUCUAUCUAGGUGGUGUUGAGGAUACCCCGUUUUCGUGUGCCCUCCGAAAGCUGGGGAGCGAAGACUUGCGUACGAAACUCGGACGAGUACAAGCGUAACGACAGGAGUGCCAAAUACUCGCGCUCCGGCGCAGCGACUUAACGGGCCCAUUGACUCCGCGCGCGUCUGCGACAGGUCCCGCGUCGGUUUUUGCAAACCCGAAAGUUAGCCUUUGGAGCAGGGGAAACCCGUUGCAAUCAACGGGUUUCGUGUCGUUGUAUCGCCCGCUACAACUUUCACGUUGACAUCUUGGCUCUAAUCCUUAUAAUUAAAACACGGACUGAUAAAUUUCACUAAAUUAGUUAAUUACAAAACAAAAAAUAGUUUGAGUCCGUCUUUCUGGUGUGCGAUGAAGCAUUUCUUUUUAAACUUUGGCUCAUUUUUCGUGAAGCACCCUGUAUACUACUCGUCGCAAUUAUGAACGUCAUCUGAGUCUUCUAUCUAUCCAAAUUCGGCCAAGCUCGACUACUCCCUCCUUCUUGAGGUCGAUUUCUAGGACGCGAUCUUUGCAGGCAAGAAACAAUCAAAAUGAACUUACCCCAAGUUACUUUGAUACAGUUACCUAAAAAGGAACGAGUUCCUCAAGAAGUAACUGGAGCUCAAAAGCACCGCAAAAAAAGUAGCUUCAGUAACGAGCUACCCCAAACACUGUAAACUAUGGCACUCGUUGAAAGAGCCAGACAACGGCAGGCCCAGCCUUGUCUUGAGGGGAAGCUUCCCAUAAUGCGUCUUCUCAAUUGGCCGAAUUUACCUUGCUACCGUGUCUAAGAUGAUCGAAACUGGGAGGUUUUCCCUGGAUUCUCCUCAGCUGUCGGUAAGGUUCCCUAUGAAGUUGGCCCUUCCGCAGCACCGGAAGCGGAAGAUCUCGUGGGAUUUUCGCAUGGAGUGCUUUCAUUACCUUGAUACGCUUGAAUAAUACGCUUUCGCUGUAAUUAAUACGCAGAGCUUCCAAGUGCAUAGACCAAUAGGAGCCAAAUAUCCGGUUUAAAAAACAACACUUAAAACUUAAUCAACUCAAGUGUAUCGCUGUAAAAUGGACCCUGAAAUAUUUUUUUUCUUACUCUAAAUUAACAAAUUACAAAAUAACACGUGUAUUGUUAAUGAAAGAAUGGCAAGAAAACAUGCGUGACAAGGACGCAAUAAGAAAAACUCUGAGACCGUUAACCUAUCACACACAAACAAGACAACUGAUACUGUUUCUCUUGCUGCGGAUAAAUUUAUAGUCUGCCUCUUAAAACAGUGUUUCAGAUCAUCAAAUCUACUCCUAAUGAUUAUUUAUCAUGUUUGCGCGGGCUCUCGCUACGGUUCCUAGUCUCGUGGGAUACUGUAAUUUACUAUAUACAACAACAAUAUAUUGUUGCAUCGUUUCAUAGCCAGCUAGUGGCAGUGUGCCAUGUGCGUGUGUCAUUUUUCAACACCAUGUAUAGUUCACUGAGUGAUGUUUGACUGGUAAAAGCAAAAGAAUGGAGAUGAU